GUGGAUGUAGCUCAAUAGGUAGAGCAACUGUAUGUGGCACAGUAGGUUUUCUGUUCAAAUCAGGGUAUCCACC
rnacentral:tRNA from 1 species